AGUGAACGCUGGCGGUAGGCCUAACACAUGCAAGUCGAACGGCAGCACAGAGGAGCUUGCUCCUUGGGUGGCGAGUGGCGGACGGGUGAGGAAUACAUCGGAAUCUACUCUGUCGUGGGGGAUAACGUAGGGAAACUUACGCUAAUACCGCAUACGACCUACGGGUGAAAGCAGGGGAUCUUCGGACCUUGCGCGAUUGAAUGAGCCGAUGUCGGAUUAGCUAGUUGGCGGGGUAAAGGCCCACCAAGGCGACGAUCCGUAGCUGGUCGGAGGGGAUGAGCAGCCACAAUGGAACUGAGACACGGUCCAGACUCCUACGGGAGGCAGCAGGGGGGAAUAUUGGACAAUGGGCGCAAGCCUGAUCCAGCCAUACCGCGUGGGUGAAGAAGGCCUUCGGGUUGUAAAGCCCUUUUGUUGGGAAAGAAAUCCAUCUGGUUAAUACCCGGGUGGGAUGACGGUACCCAAAGAAUAAGCACCGGCUAACUUCGUGCCAGCAGCCGCCGUAA
rnacentral:rRNA from 1 species